rnacentral:rRNA from 1 species
GGACUACCGGGGUAUCUAAUCCCGUUCGCUCCCCACGCUUUCGUGCCUUAGUGUCAGUAAUGAGCCAGUAGACUGCUUACGCCAUCGGUGUUCCUCCUAAUAUCUACGGAUUUCACUCCUACACUAGAAAUUCCAUCUACCUCUCUCAUACUCAAGCUUAGUAGUUCAAACAAUGGGUGUAUGGUUGAGCCACACAAUUUCACUAUUUGCUUACUAUGCCACCUACGCAACUCUUUACGCCCAGUAAUUCCGGAUAACGCUUGGAUCCUCCGUAUUACCGCGGCUGCUGGCAC